AAUUCUGUUCUUUUUAUCACCAAUGAUAAAUAGUUUUACACAAAUUGAAUGCUCUAUAAGACGACAGUUACUAAUAUUCAUAUUGAUAACAAUAAGAAAUGACACUGUUUCUUUUUUUAUUAAUGGUAUAAUGAAAACAGAUCAUGAAGAUACCUUUGUGUAAAGAUAUAUGCAAACAUCAAGGAAAAGACAAACAAAGGCUUGAAAUGCCGAGGACCGACUACUGAGCCUAUGAUACACUCGGGGAUGAGCAGUUAGCCAGCAGCAAUUUCGACCCAGAACUAGUAAAUGACAAUAACAAUGGACAAUUUUUAUGCUAAUUAAGUUGAGGGAUUUUCGAGAAAGCGCAAUUUAAUGUGAAAACAUGUUCGUCGGUUUUUACAUACAUUCUAUAUACAUGUAUUUAUAAACAUAAAACGAAGACGUACGAUUCCCAAUGAGACGACUAUACACCAAAAUUCAAAUGACGUGAAUGUAAGCAAUUAAAAUCAACCGUACGACCUUCAACAACGAGAAACACCUAUACCGUAUAGUCGGCUAUAAAAACCUCCGACAUGAAAAAUAUGAAAGAGUUCAAUUGAGAAAUUAAAGGCUUAAUUUAUAACAUAUAAAUUUACGAAAAAAAAUAUAACAGACAUGAACCAACGAUAACCACUGACCUACAAGCUGCUGGUAUAAACCUAUAUCACAAAUGUUUAAUAGACUAUCUAAAAUUACAUAAAACCAUUGUUUCUCUAUUCAGAUGUAGUAAAUGGGUUUUUGAUGCUUACAAAAUUUCCCGAAAAAUAUUGCUCAAAAACGUAUUCCUUACAUCUUAUAAAUACGUAAUUCUGUAGUUAUAUUUUAUAAAGUAACACAAAUAACAA